rnacentral:tRNA from 1 species
GCGAGAGUGGUGGAAUUGGCAGACACGCAAGGUUGAGGGCUUUGUGAGCAUUGCGCUCGUGUGGGUUCGAGUCCCAUCUCUCGCA